GAACUUCAAAAGCAAAUUCCAUAGCAUAUUGCCAUACCCGUUUGUUUUCGCCUGGACCUGCAGCAGUGUUUCAAGUCUCUGCCCUUUCUUGCAGGUAAGUGCUAUUGUGGUUUAGUAUGGUUCUUUUAGCGAACAUUAGGCAGUGUAAGACCUGCCGAAUAUGGGGUACAUUGGCGUUGUUGGCAGGCUUAUGCAAUGUAUGAUCAUAUACUGUAACUAAAUCCCCAUACUUUUCAUAUAUAGUGCUUAGUUAUUUCUCCUCUUGUUUUGCCUAUCAUAUCUUGUCUUAUUUUAGUCCAUGUACAGUCCUGUCCUGCCCCUGUUUAGUUAAUGUUCCCUUAUGUAUUGUGUACAUGUUCUGUGUUUAGCUUCCUAUCCUUCUCUGGUUCUGGGUUCUAUUAGUUCUGUCUUGUUUUCAUGUUUGGUGACUAUCCUAGCCUUGCCUUGUUUCUGUACUGGAUACAUGUCUGCUGCAGAGCCCCCCUAUCCAGUUCCUGAGAGGUCUGCAUAUCAAGCUCCUAGUUCCUGGAAUCCGUUGUAGCUGCAUCAGGGUUCUGGUAUGUGGCCGCGCAAACGCUGGUGCUCAACGCCAGAGGAUGUGUGGUUACCCUGCAGCAGGCCCUGAUAGUCCAUUACCACGCUGAAGACUCCCACUUCUCAUCAGGCAUUCAGGGGUCCCGGUUUCUGUACCGCCACCAGUGAUAAAUGGGAUCUAAAAAAAAGAAACAGUGCAAUACAAGUGCAAGAAUUCUUGGGAGCAGCAGGAUUCUGUAGGAUAUGGAUUCCUAAUUAUGCGAUAUUAGCGAAACCCUUGUAUGAAGCUGUAAAAGGCACGGAACAUGAUCCCUUCCUAUGGACCACAGAACAACAGAAGGCAUUUGAAGAUAUCAAGAAAGCACUUAUGUGUGCCCCAGCCCUAGGCCUACCAGAUCACUCGCGUCCUUUCUACCUAUAUGUUCAUGAGCAAAGAAGAAUGGUUGUGGGAGUGUUAACUCAGUACUUAGGAUCAUGGCAAAGACCUGUAGCCUACUUGUCCAAACAACUGGAUGCGGUGGCUAGUGGUCUUCCACCUUGUCUACGAGCAGUGGCUGCUGCAGCUUUGUUGGUAGCGGAAGCUGACAAACUUACAUUGGGUCAGGAAUUCUAUGUGCGAGCACCUCAUGCAGUACAGACCCUACUGGAUUACAAAGGUAAUCAUUGGUUCAGCAAUAGCAGAAUGACCAAGUAUCAGGCUAUGCUAUGCGAGAAUCCAAGAGUACAUCUUGAGACUGUCAACAAUCUCAAUCCAGCUACCCUUCUGCCACAGAUUGCUGAAAGUCAACAUUACUGUCUGGAAAUAAUGGAUGAAGUAUUUUCUAGCAGGCCAGAUCUCCAUGAUUUUACCACCCAGAACCCAGAUAUACAGUACUAUACGGAUGGUAGUAGCUUUGUGAAAGAAGGUAUUCGGUAUGCAGGGUAUGUGGUAACCACCAUAGACAAGAUGAUAGAAGCACGACCAUUGUCGAAAGGGACAUUAGCACAGAAGUCGGAAUUAAUUGGACUGACAAGGGCCUUGCAACUAGCUGAGGGGUUGAGAGUGAACAUCUAUAUGGAUUCAAGAUAUGCCUUCUUAACAACUCAUGCCCAUGGAGCAUUGUAUAAAGAAGGAGCUGUAAAGGUGGCAGAGGUGACACCUUGGAUUCAUCACUCUAGGUUUAAACCAGUGGCAGAUUCCUGGCAAGCUACUCCAGAUCGUGAGAGAUCCGGUUGAAGCGCAUGUCCUAGUCGAAUUGAGCGUGAUUUGAGAAGUAAGAGGUGAUUUUUGAAGAAUCGUCGUUGAAAUUUGCAGAGAUCAACAAGUAGGUGUUUUGACAGCCAUAAUAAAGCCUGCCUACGUUUCAUAGUCAGAGUAUCUCAAAGGGACCUCUGUGAAGGUAAGUGAGGAUCAGAAGUACUACAAUCUUUGCAGCCCUCACAAGCGGGAAGCUGAGGUGCCGUCGCACGGUCGAAGAAUUAAGAUGAGGAUCACAAGAAUAAUGUGUUUAAUUAUGUGCUUUAGUAUUUUUAUGAUUUUUCUGGAGGGUAAAGGUAAGGAUAUUCCAAGCUGUGUUAGUUGUAUUAAAACUACGAAAACAGGCAAACAGAUAUCCCAGACCCUAAUUUGGCACUCACAAUAUGAAUCUAAGGGAUCUGUGUCUAGGUGUAGGUACUUAGAUACUGAUUAUAGUGUGUGUCAUCCGAUAUCAGGUGAGCCUAAGUGUUUCAAUCCCCAAUUCCAACCCCGUACAAUUUGGUUGGUAAUUUGAAAUAGUAACUCUAGACUUUGAUAUGCACCAUACAUUCUACGGGUAUUCUAUUAUUUGAUGCAUGUAAGGUGAUUUUGGGUAGUGGAAAACCUUGGAAUGUAUGUGGUAAUAUUAAAUGGGAACGAACUUAUGGGUUCAACAACAAAUAUUUAUGCCCUAGUAAAAGAUCUACUGAUCCGGACUGCCCAAAUAGAGACUUUAACUGCUGCCCAUAUUGGUCAUGUGUAGGGUGAGCGAAAGAUAGUAGAUCAAGACAUGAUUAUCCAAAGGUUGCCCACUACACCGUAUUGUAAAACCAUGAAAUGUAAUCCCUUACAUAUGACCAUUUCCAAUCCACAGCAAUUUAUUGAUACGUUUGGGAGUCUUUUUGAGUUUCAGAUACAUGGUACAGGAACAGAUCCGGGAGCCAUAUUAUAUGUAGAUAUUGAAACCGAGACAACAGCUGCUCAGACUCAUUAGGUUCUCCAUUCCUUUUAUGAGGAGAUGAGUGUUGAGGAUAAAAUUCCCCAUAAUGUUAAGAACCUAUUUAUUGAUUUGGCUGAGAGUAUUGCAGGUAGUCUUAAUGUAACUAACUGCUUUGUAUGUGCAGGUACUAAUAAUGGAGACCAAUGGCCAUGGGAGACAAAAGAGAUUUGGUACCCUGGUUAUGAGACAGAUGAACAACAGAUGCCUGCUCAGUCCGUGUCAGGAUUAUAGAAUGAUCCAGCACGUAGAACUGUGUAACACAGAGGACUGAUAGGUAACGCAUACUGUCAGGAUAUUUAUAUCGGCAGACAUUUUGUGCUAAGAAAGAAAUUAAAAGUAUAUAUUGCCAGAGUCACUCAGAACAGAGCAGACUCCAUUUUGCUAUCUUCAGGAUAACAAAGACACAUAAUUUACUUGCUUUCACUAACCACUGAGCCUGAGCUAAGGAAUGCAUUAUAUAAACACAGACACUAGUGACAGAGAAGACUAAGUAAUUAAUUUUACUUUCUAAAUCUUACAAGGUCCCAUUGUAAGUAAGGGGUGAAAUUGAGUUUAGAACUGUCAAUUUUAGAAAUUACGAUCAACAUAGUUGCCACAAAGACUGAGACAAACGCUUUGAACUGACAGCAAAUGUAAGUUAUGGUAGUCAUUUUAGAUAAGCCAAAUGACGUCAAAAUCGUCAUCAGGAAAAGUUAACUCUUUCCUGGAUAGGAAGGUUUAGUAAGGCGAGACUGCCCUCUAUGGACCAAAUACCUAAAUUGCGAUCCAUAGAUUGAACACACCUUCAGUCUCCUAUUGGCCUUAUUAACUAAUGACGUACAGAGAGUCUGGCCCUUUAAAAGUUAGGACAAAGGGAAGAGAGAAGUUAGUUGGUGGAGUUUGGGCAUUCAGAUUCGG